AUUGAACGCUGGCGGCAGGCCUAACACAUGCAAGUCGAACGGUAACAGGAAACAGCUUGCUGUUUCGCUGACGAGUGGCGGACGGGUGAGUAAUGUCUGGGAAACUGCCUGAUGGAGGGGGAUAACUACUGGAAACGGUAGCUAAUACCGCAUAACGUCGCAAGACCAAAGAGGGGGACCCUCGGGCCUCUUGCCAUCGGAUGUGCCCAGAUGGGAUUAGCUUGUUGGUGGGGUAACGGCUCACCAAGGCGACGAUCCCUAGCUGGUCUGAGAGGAUGACCAGCCACACUGGAACUGAGACACGGUCCAGACUCCUACGGGAGGCAGCAGUGGGGAAUAUUGCACAAUGGGCGCAAGCCUGAUGCAGCCAUGCCGCGUGUAUGAAGAAGGCCUUCGGGUUGUAAAGUACUUUCAGCGGGGAGGAAGGGAGUAAAGUUAAUACCUUUGCUCAUUGACGUUACCCGCAGAAGAAGCACCGGCUAACUCCGUGCCAGCAGCCGCGGUAAUACGGAGGGUGCAAGCGUUAAUCGGAAUUACUGGGCGUAAAGCGCACGCAGGCGGUUUGUUAAGUCAGAUGUGAAAUCCCCGGGCUCAACCUGGGAACUGCAUCUGAUACUGGCAAGCUUGAGUCUCGUAGAGGGGGGUAGAAUUCCAGGUGUAGCGGUGAAAUGCGUAGAGAUCUGGAGGAAUACCGGUGGCGAAGGCGGCCCCCUGGACGAAGACUGACGCUCAGGUGCGAAAGCGUGGGGAGCAAACAGGAUUAGAUACCCUGGUAGUCCACGCCGUAAACGAUGUCGACUUGGAGGUUGUGCCCUUGAGGCGUGGCUUCCGGAGCUAACGCGUUAAGUCGACCGCCUGGGGAGUACGGCCGCAAGGUUAAAACUCAAAUGAAUUGACGGGGGCCCGCACAAGCGGUGGAGCAUGUGGUUUAAUUCGAUGCAACGCGAAGAACCUUACCUGGUCUUGACAUCCACGGAAGUUUUCAGAGAUGAGAAUGUGCCUUCGGGAACCGUGAGACAGGUGCUGCAUGGCUGUCGUCAGCUCGUGUUGUGAAAUGUUGGGUUAAGUCCCGCAACGAGCGCAACCCUUAUCCUUUGUUGCCAGCGGUCCGGCCGGGAACUCAAAGGAGACUGCCAGUGAUAAACUGGAGGAAGGUGGGGAUGACGUCAAGUCAUCAUGGCCCUUACGACCAGGGCUACACACGUGCUACAAUGGCGCAUACAAAGAGAAGCGACCUCGCGAGAGCAAGCGGACCUCAUAAAGUGCGUCGUAGUCCGGAUUGGAGUCUGCAACUCGACUCCAUGAAGUCGGAAUCGCUAGUAAUCGUGGAUCAGAAUGCCACGGUGAAAGCGUUCCCGGGCCU
rnacentral:rRNA from 1 species